GGCACCCCUGACGGAGCAACGCCGCGUGCGGGAAGACGGCCUGUGGGUUGUAAACCGCUUUUCUCAGGGAAGAAGAACUGACGGUACCUGAGGAAUCAGCAUCGGCUAACUCCGUGCCAGCAGCCGCGGUAAUACGGAGGAGGCAAGCGUUAUCCGGAAUUAUUGGGCGUAAAGCGUCCGUAGGUGGUUAUUCAAGUCUGCUGUCAAAGCGUGGGGCUUAACUCCAUAGAGGCAGUGGAAACUGGAUGACUUGAGUGCGGUAGGGGUCGAGGGAAUUCCCAGUGUAGCGGUGAAAUGCGUAGAUAUUGGGAAGAACACCAGUGGCGAAAGCGCUCGACUGGGCCUGCACUGACACUGAGGGACGAAAGCUAGGGGAGCG
rnacentral:rRNA from 1 species